CGCACCUGCCAGAGACCAAGCACAGACGGGGCGGGUAUCAGCACACUGUGGAGGGUGCGGUCUCCUCCUAUGGAGGAGGGGGCAGGCCCAGAGGAGGAGCUUGGGCAGGGAGCAUGGGGAGGGCGCAGUGCUCCUGGGUCCCUGCUUGCUUCAAGCUGAGGAGAAGCUGGGAGCUACCCUUCACCAAACACUUACCCAUGUGCCCAGCCCUGUGCCAAGCACUGUCUUCUUAACCCUCAACAACCUUCCAUGAGGAAGGCACCCUGAUUAUUCUUGUGAAGAUUAGGAAACUGAGGCCCAGAGAGGUGAAGAAGCUUGCCUGUGGUCACACGGCCAGUCGGUGACAGAGCCACAUUUGAACCUAAUCACACUCCAUGCAAUCAUGCCUCUGAUUACCCUAAGACAGCAGUCUCCAAACAGGGGAGUACCGCUAGACGCACGUGAGGCCUGAGUACUGACGGUUUUAAAGAAAUCCAUUUUCAGCCUCCAGGUCUACAUUGCCUUAAAAUUAUUUUUGUGAGGCAGUGGCUGAGAUCUGCUUCUCUGGCCACAACACAUCUUGCUCAUUCUAAAUCCUCAUAAAGUGCUUUGCUGCCAGGUAAAAGUAUUCUGAGGACAUGAAAAAAAGAACAAUUUGAGAUAUUGAUGUAGGUCUUGAGAAAGAAAAUAUGGCUAAUGACUGGGUAACCAAGGCUUUCAACAAAACUGAAGAACAGCUUAACCAAAUUGUCAGCCAGGAUAUCAUGAGAAGUAAUUUGUUCUUAGCAGAGCACCUUGAGAUUUCUGGCAAAUAACUUGGAAGGAAGGAGUUCAAGUAAUUGAGUGACAUCUAGUCUCAUUUACUUAUUUAUGUGAACAUGGUUUCUCAACCUUCUCAUCAAUAAAAAAAUGAUAAACAGGAAUUAAAUUAAUGCAGAAUCCUGUCUCAGUCUGGCAGGAAGUAACAUUCAUUAAUGGAUUCAUUCACUAAUUGAAACGAGGUAGCCACAUCCAUCUCAUUGAGAUGCAUUCCCAAUCAAAUUGAUUGUAUUUUUAUGUUGAACAUCUAUUAAAAUAGGAAGUAUUUGUGCUGUUUUGACCAAAUGGUGCUACUAAGAAUUAUUUUGAUAAUUUAUUCCAGGAGAAAAUUUAAUUUAGGUUUAUGCUCACAGGAAAUUUAAAAUAAUUCAAACUCAUAUAUCAUUUUUUUGUGGCAGAUAAAUAUGACAAGGUAAUCAAUAAAAGACUUCUGAAAAUUAAAAGUACUGUUACACUAGGCUGAAAUUCUUGGGGGUGGGGAGUGAAAUGGAAAUACAAGUUCCAGGAAAAAAGAAACAAUGUAAAUAUAUAAUUAUGAAAGGAAGUGUUCCUGUAUUUUUUUUUUUUUUGCUUGUUAAUUUUCUUUUUUUUUUUUUGAGACGGAGUCUUGCUCUGUCCCAGGCUGGAGUGCAGUGGCGUGAUCUCGGCUCACUGCAAGUUCCGCCUCCCGGGUUCAUGCCAUUCUCCUGCCUCAGCCUCCCGAGUAGCUGGGACUAUAGGCACCCACCACCACACCCGGCUAAUUUUUUGUAUUUUUAGUACAGAUGGGGUUUCACCAUGUUAGCCAGGAUGGUCUCGAUCUCCUAACCUUGCGAUCCGCCCGCCUUGGCCUCCAAAAGUGCUGGGAUUACAGGUGUGAGCCACCGCGCCUGGCCUGCUUGUUCAUUUUCUUAAAAGUGGAUGAUGGAGAUUCCCGAGUGAAAUGUCUGAAGACUGCUGCCUUGGGAACAGGAGCCACGGGACACUUUCUGCCUCCGGCUGCCGGCGGGUAACUCGGGCCUGGAUGGACUUCCCUGCCAGCUUGUUUCCCAAAUUGCCGCGCGGGCCCAGAAAAGAGAUGAGAGCAUAAACCCCUAGGGGGCGCAGUCCCCAGGAUCCCUGUCUUCAUGGAGUGGGGCUCAUGGGGUCAGGGCUUGGGUCAACUCCACUCCAUAGCACGAAAUGACUUCCUGGAGUCACGUGCGUGGGGGAGGCUUAGCCCCUGAAGGAGAGCCACCUCUCUUCAGUGACUGAUUGACUGUGCACGUGAAAUAUUUUAUUUUUUCUAUUUACUCUCACAGAUUUGGGUUUUCCCUCCUCUCAUCCUUCUCUCCCAGCCACACUCAGGCCUGGGGCUCCAUUCUGCUGCCCACAAGGUACGAAGUGGGUUAGAAGCAGCAAGGGGACCCACAGGCAAAAAUACUCCUGGGAGACAGUGGCGAGGGGCACAUGUUCCCCGGGGCUACUAGGAAGUGGCCCCAGAUAACGUCUCAGCUGAUGACAGACUUUUAAUCACUAAAAGGUAAACACUAAUGUGCAGGAAUCCUGUUUGUUUGCUCACAGAUGUACCUGACACACAGUAAGUGCUCAGUAAAUGUUUGUAGAGUGACUGAAUGUUUGCUGGACCUCCUGCCCCUCAUUCUACACAGAGAAAAGCUAGGCUGACAAAGGUGAAAUGAUUUGUUGAAGGUCAAUGGAAACCUAGGGCUAAGCCGGGACAAAAACCAAGGUCCACUGAUGCUUCCUGGGCCCUAGAGUCUUGAGGAGGUGCAGCUCCCUGUUCUGCCCCCAAGACUGGCCUCAGUCCUGCCUCUCCCCCUCCCCAACCUAACCCUGGCGGCAAGGCGGGGCUCCCCUCGGGCCCAGCCUCCUCGCCAUCCCUGGGACCCCGCACACUCACAGGUGGCAGUCUGUGGGUCUCUGCUUCUCUCUCCUCCUCUUCCCCCUGCCCUUGGGUCUCCUCCUGCAAUAAGCCAAGCGUCAGGACAAGGUGGCUGGGGAACCCCAUGCUAGGACAGAGGCUGGCAGGCCCGAGAAUAGCCCCGAGCCCCAGCCAAACCACUUACCUUUCCGGCUUCAUCUUCUCCCGCAGAGGCCUAGGGAAACAGACAGAGAGAGGGGCAGAGGAACGUUAGGAAAGCAAUAAGUGGGGCUCCCUGCCGCCCGGACAGGUCCCCUCCGACAUCCCCAGUCCUGGUCCUGCAGCUGACACUGAGGCCACUAGGGGGUAGCAUGGAGUUGGCAAGGGAGAGGUGGCCAGAGCCUCAAGGCUUCACUCCCACUCCAGGCUCUGGUGACCCCACCACGAGAGGGACAAAUCAACCUCCUGGGGACCCCUGCCACCCGCUUCUGCACUUCUCAGCCUCUUGGCAUCAAAUUUGGUUGUUUCUGUCUGUUCUCUGUUGCUUUUUCUUUCUCACUUUCUUUGCUGCUUUUUUCCGUUCCUUCCAGGGUGCAUUCUGGGAAUUUCCUCAGGGACAGGAGAUGAUGGCCAGACAGCGGACUGGCUGCCUGUCAGGGCACAGCCCCACUCCAUCCGGAACAACAUGGGGAGUGAGCGACGGGGUGGGAGGAAGGAGGGAGCAUCAGCCCUGAAGUCACCAGGCAUGUCUGGGCUCUGCCUCCCAGGGCUGUGGCUGUUGGCCCAGAAGCAAGAAGAAAGGUGUCCCUGUUGCCUGGCCCCUGGCAGGGGAUAGGGCCUCAGUCUUCACUGGGAACAGUGGGUAGAGACAUGGGACAGCAUGGUAGCAGUCAGCUUUGGGGCCAGGACAUGCUACCCUCAGCUGGUUCCUCCCUUGGGAGCCAGGGCAAGGUACCAGGGCCUCUUGGGACUGUCUGGUUGUACCUCUCCAUAUUGGGCAAGUGACAGACACUCUUGGAACCUCAGUCUCUUCAUCUGCCUGCCCCAAAAGAGUGGCUGUCAGGGCAAAGGGGAUGGAGAAGGUGACUCUGGGUCACCACCCAGCAUUGCACCCAGGAGGGUUCAUUACCGAGCUCUUGUUAUAUGGCUAAGCUCUGGCUUGGAGGGAUGGGUGGAAACAAGUUGAGGCAGGGUCUCCAACACUCCAACAAAAGGGGCAGCCAUAGCCCUGCCCAGGAGGCAAGGCUAAGCCUGGGGGCUAUUAGAAAAGUGGUCAUGGCCAUGAAAGGUAGCCUGAAAAACGAAGGCUUACGAGUUAGGUCAGGGCCCAGAAUCCCUCCUCCCACACUCACUAGCUGUGAUAAAUCAUGAAACUGUAUUGAGCCUUGAUUUUCUCAUCUGUAAAAUGGGGAUGACAAUAGGGCCUACCUCCCAGGGUUGUUAUGAGAGCAGGAACCUUGCUCACCACUGCAUCCCAUCAGGACAAUGCCUGGCAUGUGGUAGGUGCUCAAUAAAUGUAUGUGACUAAAUGAGAAACAUUCAAGUGCCUCCUGCGGGGCUAGGCACAGAAUAGGUACACAAUAAGUGGUAGUCUUCCCUCCUGCCGCCCCUGGCUAGGGCUCUGGACUUCUAGUCUGGUGCCUUCAUCCAUGGCCCAGUAGUACCAGGAGCAGCAGCUCAGCCCAUUUCUCUCUUCCCUGAACCUAGCUGGCAGUGCCAGGCCUGUUGCUCCUGCUAACCAAUGUUCCAAGUGCCCCCAGCACAGGCAGCAAGACUGGUGCUGGUCAGAGGCUCUGUGGAUUGGGAGGGGCCGUAGAGGGGUGCUGCAACAUCAAGGAAGCCACAGUGUCACUCUUCUUCUGCCCCUUUUCUCCUACCCGAGCUUGUCCUUCUUGCUGCUUCUCAGCCCCGUUUGCCCGCUCCUGUGGGCACACAGCUUGCCCCAGAACGAAGUUCAGACUUGCAAUGUCUUUGCCUCCAGGCACCUCUUUCAGAGGCCCGUGGCAGCUGCCUCCCAUCCCAGAGAAGGGGAACGACACGCACCGAACCCCUGCGAGGCUGGGAGGGACCCACCCUCUCUCUUCCCUUGCAGUAUCUCAACAGCUGUACCCCAGCUGCUGGGACCAGCUCCCUUGGCAAAACUGGCUGGUGGGGGGACAAAAUGAAUGGUAGCCACCCCUGGUCCUGCCCUCUUGGUCUCCCUCAGUCUGGAAAAAAGUUCAGCCCGCAGCGGGGAUGGGCAGCCUUUGCCUCUGCCCUGGGACCCAUCUUUGCUGAGGCUGCCAAGAGGACGGGGGCCUUUCCUUGCUACCCACCCGACCCCGGAGACCUACCGGCAUUCGCAGCGAACGUGCUGAGAGAACGUCAGCUCCACGUAGGAGGGCCGGUCCCCAGAACGGAUCUUUAGGAGCUGAAGGAAGAAAGAGUUGAUGCCUGGAUUGGGGAGUGGCCCACGAGUUUCCGGCACUCUUCUCUCUCUCCUUGUAAGGAGAACCCGACUCUGUUUCCUGCUAGCCUGUGGACUACAGGCCCUCACUCCACUCUGAACGUGGGGCAAACAGCUCUCUCAGCUGCAUGGGGAUCUGAGGGAGGCCCCUGUCCCUCCCUGCCCGGGAGCACUAGCACAGCAAUAGCACAGGAAGGGGGCUCAUGUUCUGGAGUCAGAGAGACCCGUGUUCAGAUCUUGACUCUUUUACCUGCUGAACAAGUGAAAUAACAUCUCUGAACCUUGAGUUCCCCAUCCGUGAAAUGGGAAUGACACCAGCCUUGAAGGAUUGAAUGACACACCACUUGUGGCACGCCUAGGACAGUGCUUGGCAUUACUCAGUACCUUCUAGUGGGCAGAUUCGGUGGCCCCCUGGGCAGGGUAUGGACCUACCUGCAUGGUGACAUUGGCCGUCUCCACCGGCACACAGUGCAGAUUCUCAUCGCCGCAGCAGCCGGUGCAGCGCAGCAGGGAGACACAGGAUGGGCUGAACAUGUGCUCCACCUCGCUGGGGUACUCGGACACGACGUCCACCAGCCUCUCCAGCGCCCGGCAGUAGCUGCGGCCCCACACUUCCUGGAAGGGUACCACUGCGAGGAAGCAAGGGGGCUGGGUCAGGCCAGCAGAGACCUGCCCCUUGAAGCCCUAAACCUGGCUCCCAAGGCCCUGCUGGCCUUCCAGGUUCAGCCCCCAGCCCCAUCCGAGCUCCCUCAACUCUGAACUCCUAAUGUGAUCCCUCCGAAAUGCCUGCGGGCCCCUUAGCUCAUCUGCUGGAUGGAAAUCCCCAUGGAACAGAAUCUCUCAGGGUCCCAAGCUUUGCUCUGUCCUCAACUCAGGCACCCACGUCUGCCUUGGCUCCCUGGAGCUUUGAGGAUUGUAGCCCCGGCAGCUACCCAGGCCCUCUGGAUCUUUCUCAAGCCUGACCCGGUGCUUCCUCCAACUUGGAGAACUUGCAGAAAACAGUCAUUCCUGGAGUCAUGCAGGGAGGGUUGGCCUUCCCUUAUUCCUCUGCUCAAACACCUUCCACGGCUCCCUCAUUUCCUGCCCCACUCUGUGCCAGCUCCUCUGCCUGGCAACCAAGACCACAUCCAGCAAUGUGGCCCGACCCUCCUCUCCACUGAGUCCAACCAGCGCUCACACUGAGCCACGGCAGCACCACAUUCACUCCCAGCUCUGGCUUGUGCACUCUGCAGCCCGUACAGCUGCUCUUCUUCCCCCUCCUCUCAUUUCUAUCCAAAUAAAGUCCACCCGCCAUUUUCCACGA